AUUGAACGCUGGCGGCAGGCCUAACACAUGCAAGUCGAGCGGAGUUUUCGGACCUAGCGGCGGACGGGUGAGUAAUGCGUAGGAAGCUACCCGAUAGAGGGGGAUACCAGUUGGAAACGACUGUUAAUACCGCAUAAUGUCUACGGACCAAAGUGUGGGACAUUCGGGCCACAUGCUAUCGGAUGCGCCUACGUGGGAUUAGCUAGUUGGUGGGGUAAUGGCUCACCAAGGCGACGAUCCCUAGCUGGUUUGAGAGGAUGAUCAGCCACACUGGAACUGAGACACGGUCCAGACUCCUACGGGAGGCAGCAGUGGGGAAUAUUGGACAAUUGGCGCAAGCCUGAUCCAGCCAUGCCGCGUGUGUGAAGAAGGCCUUCGGGUUGUAAAGCACUUUCAGUAGGGAGGAAGGGUGUUGUGUUAAUAGCGCAGCAUUUUGACGUUACCUACAGAAGAAGCACUGGCUAACUCUGUGCCAGCCGCCGCCGUAACAC
rnacentral:rRNA from 1 species